UAUGGAACGUGGAUUUUGAAGAGGAGAACGGGGACAUUGGAAUUUAUCUGUUUCAACCUCACCAUUCCAAAAUAUCUGGAAUUUCAAUUGAGCCAUUCUCCAUGUUGAAGAUAUUUACUUCAAGUUAUGAUCAACAUAUUAUGUUGCUGGAUGUUGAAAAGGAGGCUUUGAAAGAGAUGAUCCUAAUAUUGUAGUUACAAGCUUGGUAGCUAGGACUUUCUCUGUGUGGGACUUGAGGAGUAUUAGCAGAGAUCAACCAAAAUCAUUGACAACUAUUAGACAUGGCGGUCCAAUUCAUUCCGCGUGCUUUACACCUUUUGGGAGUUUUCUUGCAACAACAAGGUUUGUGCUACUAGUGAAGCCCCUUUGAUUCCUAAUUUCCUACAUACAGAAAAUGCUUUAAGAAUUUGACAGAAAAGAGGGAAUAAAAACUGCUUAUUUAGGAAAUAAAAAUAAAAUGUUCAACUUCACUAGUAUGUCAUAUGAAAUUUGAUAAUUCAGUGAAUUUAGAUAUCAAAAUUACUUCAAAUCGUAGAAGUAUUUUCAAAACAAAUAUUUGAUAGUGAAAUGCUUCAAAAGAAUAUUGUUAAUGCUUUUAGAAAGUGUAUAUAUAUAUAUAUUCUUGUGAAGAUGUUUUUGUAGGAAAUUUUAAGAGGAAAAGGUCUUCAUAGUAAAAGCAUCAAACCACUCUUUAUCAGUUUUGUUCUUCUGCUUACUUUUCUUGAGAAAACUGCCUGUUUUGAUUCUAUCAACUGUUUGGUAUCUCCUUGAUCAGUAGUUACGUUGGUAAUUUCAAGUUUAACACAGCUUGGAAAAUACUAUUGGUCUAUUUGGAGGAGAAAACUAUGAGGAGAAGUUCCUGAUACCCGACAAGAACCUAAAUGGUGAAUAUAUUUCAACAUUAAGAGGAAUCUGGGGCUGGGAUGACUCAUACGGGUACAUUGGCAAGAUUCAGGAAAAGCAGAAGCAUAAAAGAAAAAGGAAAGCUCAAAAAAUUAGUGGUGAUUGAUGACAAUAUUAAUAACAUUGAAAAGAAGAUUGAUGAUGACAAAAAUGGAGUCGAUAUCAUUUCUACGGUUGAGAAGAAGGUUGUGUGUACUUUGUAAAGUGAUGAUAUGCCUACUGUUCCGUAGUGUUUGGCUGCUCAUCCUUAUAUGGUUGGAACACUUGCUGGUGCCACAGGCAAAGGUAAAGUAUGUAUGUGGGUAGAAGCAGUUGCGGAUCCAGAAUCUUUAGUUUAUAGGUUCUGAAUUCUAAAAAAAAGUGGUUUACUGGAUAAACAAUUUAUACAUAUUCUUUGAGUUUCUUAGCACAAACACAGGAUUUUGGUCAAAACUAUUUGGUUCGCCGAAACCGCUUCUCGAUAGAAGCUUGACACUUUGACUAUGUUUUCUUAACGACAAUGUAUUUGUUUCUAUUUUGAGAUAUGCUCCGGUGAAGUAGCGGUUGACAUGCAUAGUGUAAAUAUCUAAUUGUUUUCAUCUUUUUAGUUUUUUAGUGGAGAAUGAGUAAAUUUUCAUUAAGCACUUUUAUAAAUUAAAAGAAAAUUGUUAAUGUUUGAUACUAGUUAAUUGCUUUGAUAAGUAAUAUACGUUAAUUAUAAGAAGCUGGAGUAUAGACGUCUAGUUGCAUAUCUUAGAUUGUACUCGGUAAAAGAACAUUUGACUACAUUCUCUCCAUAAAAUACAGUUUUAUAAGAAAGUGAUUUUACCUUAUAUUUUUCUUUUUUUUAUUUGUCCUUUUUAUUGACACUACAAGACAGACACCGAUGGAGCAUAUUUCUUAAAAAUUGCAUUGAUGGAGCAUGGUUCUAAACCUUUGGGAUCGUUCGGUUCGAACAUAAGUUAUGCAUGAAUUAGUUAGGCAAGAAUCAGUUAUACAUGAAUUAGUUAUGUAGGGAUUAGUUACGUAAGUAUUAGUUACGUAGGGAUUAAUAAUACAUGGAUUACAAUGUAAAUAUUAUUUCUUGUUAAACGUUUGGUUUGUGAGUA